GGUGGCAGGAAUGGGAAAGAGCUGGCAAAUGUGACAGCCACGCAACUGUUCAUCAUCCUAAUUUAAAUAUUUGAGAAGAAGGUGGAAUUAAAAAAUGUUUCCCCACCCCCAUUCUACUCAAUCAUAUUGCCAAAUAGUACCCAGAGCUAAUCAUGAAAAAGGGUGCAGUUCUGUGGGGAAGAAAAAUAUGUCCGUGGUUUGUUUACCUGUUUAAGAUGACAGGUGGAAUACUGGACUGAUGAGGAAACCCAGCACACCACGUCUCUCCCUCGGUUUCAAAAACACCAAUGGUCAGUGCCAGGAUAUCCAAUUUACCUUGAUCCUUACUUCCAUCAUAUUUCACACAGAGGCCAAUGUAAUUAGCUCAAAACACCACAGGAACCAAGACUCACGCAUCUUUCUUGAAGGCACUCUGAGAAACAUCCUCCUUUCCCUCCAGGCCAUCCUUGUUAUGCUUCAUGUGGGUGUGAUGCGUGGCCAGGAAGUUCUGCAGGGAACAAUUGCUCCAGACCUAUUCCUUGCUUUGGUAAAGCCACGGCGUUUCAUAAGUGCUCUAAGAUGUGUCAGAAACACAGUAAACCCUUAGAUGUUCUGUGACCCACUAACUUUUUUCUUCAAGGAUUUCUGUAAUUUGAUUGCAAUUCAGGAAUAAGCUGGACAUAUACUUGGACAAGUCAACGCAUGAAAAACCUAAAUGCAUUUGAGUUAUAUCAGAAUUAUUAGUUCACACUUACUUCCUCCCAACCAGUUACCAAGCACUGGGCUGACUCCAUUAAGGAGGUGGCUGGUCCCGCAUAAGUACAAACACCUUUGAUUACUUAAGUUGUUUAAAAACUGUUUGGGUGGUUUUUAAAUGGCCAAGAGAAGUCUUUCCCAUGGCAAAUCGGGACAUCCAGAGAGAAAAGUCACUGCCACCUUAUCUUCCAACAGUGCCGAGGAGACCUCUGGCCUCUACACUUCAACUUCCUCCUAGGAGUUUAGACUCAGCGACCAGGUGCAGAUGCACGCAGAGCUGAAACCAGCGGCUGGGCCACGGCCGGGAACAGUCUCUGAAGGUCAAGCACCAGCCAAGAGGCUGGGAUUUUCCUGGACAAGGCGAGCAAAGAGAGAUGGGUGUUGGCGCAGGGUGGGAGUGAGCCAGCCUUCUGGCCUCCUGGCGAUCGGGAAAGGUACACAGACGCGUGUGCCUUGGGGAGCUGCCUGUUUGCAGGGAAUGCCUGACAAAGCUCUGGUCCUUGAAGGCUGAGGGUGCAGCUCUGGAAGAGGACUUGGAGGUGGAGGUAUAGUCACUUCAUUCUUUCAUGCAUUCAUUCAGCAAUAACCAAAGCUGUGUUGGCAUCUAAUGGUGAGCAGACCCAGUGUCUCAGCCGUCCUCAGGGAGCGUAGAGCACAGAGAAGGACGCUGCACCACGGGAGCAAGUCAGCAGAUUCCGUGGAAUGGUGGUGAGAAAAGAGGAUGUGCCAGGAGGCGCCCAGGCUGCUGUGGGACCCAGGCCUGGUCGCACGUGGAUAGCAGCAGACAGAAAGAAAAGUGUAUCUCCGUUUCCUCCAUCACUGCCUGGAGAUGUUUCCUUCAACCAGCGAGAAGCAGCCAUAGGGCAGAUCUGUGCUGGUCCCAGCAAGGCCUUGGU